rnacentral:rRNA from 1 species
AACGAACGCUGGCGGCAUGCCUAACACAUGCAAGUCGAACGAGACCUUCGGGUCUGGUGGCGCACGGGUGCGUAACGCGGGGGAACCUGCCCUUAGGUUCGGAAUAACUCCCCGAAAGGGGUGCGAAUACCGGAUAAUGUCUUCGGACCAAUGAUUUAUCGCCUUUGGAUGGGCCCGCGUUGGAUUAGCUAGUUGGUAGGGUAAAAGCCUACCAAGGCGACGAUCCAUAGCUGGUCUGAGAGGAUGAUCAGCCACACUGGGACUGAGACACGGCCCAGACUCCUACGGGAGGCAGCAGUGGGGAAUAUUGGAGAAUGGGCGAAAGCCUGAUCCAGCAAUGCCGCGUGAGUGAUGAAGGCCUUAGGGUUGUAAAGCUCUUUUACCCGGGAUGAUAAUGACAGUACCGGGAGAAUAAGCUCCGGCUAACUCCGUG